GGGGGGGCACUGGGAGCACUGGGAGAGGUCUAGGACGGGGACUGGGAGACGGGGGUGCCAGGCCGAGCCGGAAGCCGGAGGGGAACGAUGAUUGGCUGCGAGGAGAGGGGCGCCCUGUGAUUGGCUGCGACAGCGUCGCCGCGGAGGUGCAGUGAGGGCGGGGACCCCCCCUCCUUCCCCCCCCCCUACAGCCACCCCUCCCCCCGGGGCUGCCCCUCCCCUAACGGGGGGGCCCGGGGGGGACCCAGGUGUCCGGCACCCCAAGACUGGGCUGGAUGCAUCGCGCGGUGGAGCCGUUGGGGGGCAGGGCCGGACGGGACCCCUUCGCCGUGGGGAGCCUGAGCUGCAGUGGGGCCUGGGCCGCCUGCCCCCCCCGGGCCUGGCUGCCCCCCAACAGGUGCUCUUCCAGCGUCGGGCAGGCGCCGCUGCCCCCCCACCUCCCGCCCCCCCCCCGGCGGCAAUGGGGGACCCCCCCACAAGUCCUACUACAGCCCAGGG